rnacentral:rRNA from 1 species
CCUACGGGAGGCAGCAGUGGGGAAUAUUGGACAAUGGGGGAAACCCUGAACCAGCGACGUCGCGUGAGUGAAGAAGGAUUUCGGUACGUAAAGCUCUAUCAGCAGGAAAGAAAAUGACGGUACCUGACUAAGAAGCCCCGGCGAACUAGGCGCCAGCAGCCGCGGUAAUACGUAGGGGGCAAGCGUUAUCCGGAUUUACUGGGUGUAAAGGGAGCGUAGACGGCAGGGCAAGACUGGAGUGAAAUGCCGGGGCCCAACCCCGGAACUGCUCUGGAAACUGUGAUGCUGGAGUGCGGGGAAGGUAGGCGGAAUUCCUGGUGUAGCGGUGAAAUGCUUAGAUAUCACGAAGAACCCCGGCGGCGAAGGCAGCUUCCUGGACUGGAACUGACGUUGAGGCUCGAAGGCGUGGGGAGCAAACAGGAUUAGAUACCCCUGUAGUC